CCUCCGUCGUUUUAAGUAAGGCCGAACCCUACCCCGAAAAUCAAGCCAGUCUUAGGGGGGAAUCAU
rnacentral:tRNA from 1 species